CUCCUCCUUCUCCUCCCUCCGGAGUGAAACCCGAGCGCCCCACCCCGCGCCUGACCUCCCCGGGCCCCUCCCCCGGGCCCGCCCCUUCCCGGUUUGGGACCCCUUAGCGCCGAGGGUGCCCCCUGCACCCCAGGAGUUCACUCCUGCCUCCCAAGGGUAAGUUCUCCCGAGCGUUGACUUUUCAAGGACUCUUUCACCGGCCUCGCGGAGACCUUCCGUGGCUCCCCGCCCCCGGUCCCGUCCCUCCGACGUGGCUACUUUUCGGGGUGGGCAGUAUAAAGGGCCGGAGGCAGCGCGGGCCGAGACCCGAGACGUGGCGCGUCCGCCCUACCCGUCUAUGCUACAGGUACGUGAGCGUCCCGUAGUGGGAUCGGUGCAGAGGGUGGGCGGGAGCCAUCGGUCCUCUCGGACUCGGAGUUUGAGAUUUUGUUCCUCUGUGACAUCCUCUUGCGUGCUGAGCAAGAAACUCCUUAAUGAAGACUGGGAGAGUCGCUGAGGGUUCUUGAAGGAGCAGUUUGGGGGUGAGGCUCCCACCUAAUUCAGGCCGCUUUCAGAGGGGUUAAACCAGGGAAAUGAACACGUGUGCCGGACCAGGGAAGCAGAUCAAGAGAUCACCAAAUAGCCACGCUGAGCUUAGGCAGAGAAGCUCCAUCUAGACCAAAGUCAUCUCUUCCAAUUCUGGGGCAGAAAUUCCCUGUUGCACUUUUGCGAGAUGUUUGGGCCUUGCUGAUUAAACACUCCUCGGAUGAGAAGUUUAUAAUUGGAAAACAAAGUACCUUUGAAGACUCCUGUAGCUUGAUACUUUGUUGCAAUUCUACAGCUUUUAAGGAGAGAGGUCAGCUUCUCUGGGUUUAAAACUGUGAAAAUGGGCGAGUGUUAAAAUAAUAGGAUAAGACAGUAAAACCUGGGUUCUCUGUCCUGUCCUGAAUGGUCAUGUGUAACCCUUUCCCUCAGGAUGGGGGUGGGGGACAGUCUGCGUUUUUGGUUUUUUUUUUCCUUCCUUCUAUGCUUCAAAGGAUGGCUUUAAGGUGCUCCUGCCUAAGGAAACUAUGAAUGUCCUCUCUCAACCGCAGUAACAUAAGGAUGGCCGUAUGGUCCAUGUUCACACAGCCGCUUUUAGAGUCAAUGCCAGCCCUUUGAUGGGUCAGGCAAAUACUGAGAACAGUCCUGUACAUCCAUGGGAUUCCAUUGAGUUCAUCCAUGAAACACAGCGCCAUUGCGGGUAGAGUGUGUCAUAGCUCAUGCAGGACAGAGCAGAUCCAAGAGGAGGACAGUAGCAUAUAAGUUGCCAUCAAUCUGUCUUUAUUUCCUAUUAUUGUUCUAAUGAAAGAAGUGAAACACUUCUGAAGGCGUCCAUAUAAACCCAUUCCAUACCCAAAUGCCUAGUCUCUCCAACUGGUGAUGGGGCUGCCUCGGAUGCUUGGGGCCACACUCUGAUUUCCUUUAAGAGGUCUGGGAGGAAGUGUCAGUCCAGUCCCUGGCAGCCCCCUUGGUAAGCAUUCCUCCCUGAGCUGGGCUUCUAGCCUGGUGCGUGGUAGCUGCUGGCUUCUGGGACUUGAAUGAAAACCUUAGCACUUUACUUUCUGUGCUGGGGGCGGGCUCCAUUCCGGACAUUCCGCUUCUCUGGCCUACGUGGCACAGGCCUAGGAGCCUCUCUGGAGCAGGCGGCUGGCCAAGCUCUUGCCUGGAUGCCUGGUGAAGGCGGGGGAGGACCUCUGCUUUAUGCUGAACCCGAAGUCUCUCAGAUGGGCAGCUCAGAGCUCAUACAGGGGAAUGAAGACCGAAAUUAGGACCAAAAAUAUUUACCAAACUUUUCCUUGCCUCUUAAGGUAGCAGUUGAAAGCAGCCAACACUUUUUUUUUUUCUUUUUAAUUUAAGAAAAAGAAUUUCUUAACAAACAGAGUUAAGCAGUGGAAAGAGGACUUUUAACACUUAACUAGGCAAAUUAAGUAAUUUUGUGUUAUCUGGGGAGUGGGGGGAUUCAGUUUUGCUGUUUCAGGUUGUACUGAACCAUCCUUAAAAGAAUGUAUUUUAGUGAUAAUUAACUACAAAUUACUAAUAAUUAGCAAGGAAAUAAAUGAUAAUUUAGAGUGCAUUCUUGGCUUAAAAUGAAACGAGUGUCAGUUGAGGAUUGCGUUUGACCUGGCUCUCUUUAAAAUUAUUUUAAAGUAUACAGAGUUAGUUCCUUUUUCUAAAUGAAAUUUCCUUUCCUUUUUCCUUUGAAAAAGACUUGCUCACUUACAUUAAGCUGCUUCUCAUCACAUUGUACAAUUAAGGGUAGUCGUUUUUAAACAAAAACUGUUUAGUCCUCUUCAGAAUAGAAAUACAGUCCUCCCUAAUCUGCUUCAGGUGAACCAUGCACAUGAGGUCAAUGAAUGAGAUGACCAAAGCGACACAUGGUGAAAAUGAUGAAUUCUGGGGCACUGAUUCAUAUGACUUGAAAAAUGCCAUCCAUUUCCUGAUUCACCACAAUCUUUACUCUGAAAUAUAAAGCAUCACUUGUGUCUCUGGACUAAUCAGCCAAUUCUGUCUUGUCUUUACACCCCUCUCUAGUGCUUGAAUUUGGGCCAUAAGGCUCAACUGCCAGCCCAGAGCCAAGGAACAGGGUGGGGGCUGAAGGAGCAUCACCUGGAGGAGAGGCAAAGAUGCUGCUGGGGACCACAAGUGCCCUUUAAAGGAAACCAUGGGAGUGGUGGUGUUUAAGAUGUGGUAAGACAGUAUUAAAAUUCUGGAGGGAAAAAAAAAAAAAAAAACCUCAGUCCAAAAUGUGUGACCUCUUUUCAUUUACCUCUUAACUGGAUUUUCCUAAAAAUGAUCGAGGCAAGUGUUACAAUUGUCAUCCAUGCAUUUCUCUUUUUAUCCUUGGUUUCCUUCUUUUAGAUCCAUGGCAUUUAAGAACUGAGAAGAAAAAGAAAAAAAAAAGAAACUUAAAAGGAAAAAAGAAAGCUUGAUCAUCUGAAUUAUCCCAUCAUUUUUUUUUCUUAGCACAGCUAGACAUUGCUUAAAAAAAAAAAAAAAAGUGAGGUUUGAUGACUCAGUGUGGUUGCCUAGAGUUAGAGCUCUUUUUUUUUUUCCAUAUACUAUAAAUGACUUGGAAGACUCAUGAUUGUGGCUAUGGGUGACACCGUGAUGUCCCCAAAGUUUUGACAGAUGAAGAAUCUCAAGAUGGGGAGAUUUCAGGGAACUCACAGCCCCUACUACAUUCUCUUGAGCUUCACCAAGUUCGGUUUACGGUUCUUUUGCCCCAGGAAGCAUCCUGGUCCUCCCAUGCAGAGCUCACUCUCUCAGUGCUUACCUGUAAGCAGACCAGUUCUGUUCCUAAAGCAACAGCCCAGACUCUUUGAAAGAAAGUGGCCUUGGCACAUUUGAGAAUGACCACAAGUGGGCGUGUUGCAAAGCAGGAGUUCCUGGUCCCUAUGCUGUGCUAGUCUGCACUGAAGACUCCAUCAAGGUCCCUUCUCUGACAUCUGAUUUCCACCUGGUUCUACCCACGGCUGCCUCACCUUUGCCAGGUAGAGGGAUGUGCUUUGUUGUUGCUGGUUGUUAAAUGGAAGCUGAUACAGAAUGACCUGCCCUCACCAUUCCAGGUGAGUUCUUCUCACCUAUGGGUUCUCUUGAAUUCAUUUCCCAAAUGAGAACCAUAUCCCUCGACCUCAUGCCACAUUCAAGAAAGCAACCCAGUUAAGUCCAGUGGCCAAAGCAAUGAACGGCUCAAAAUGCAACCACCCAAGCCUACAUUCAACAAGACGUACUCACUAUCAGUUACGGGGGAUGUUUCAUAGCAGUUUUUUUUUUUUUUCCUUUUCUUUUUUUUUUGGGGGGGGGGCGGGGGAGUAUAUAGCCAUCCUUAAAAUUUCAGUAAGACAUUGUAUUUUACUUCAGCUAUAUAUACAGAAAACCAAAGUAUUCUAGAAAUCUAGAAAUAGUUUGCCUUAUCUUUUGGGUUAUAUUUCUAGAUAUAUUUUUCUAACCACCCAGUUUCCUUAAGAGAAAACUGGUGUCCUCAAAACAGCCCAAGUUGUCUUUUAUAAGUUUGGUGCAGGGAAAGGGGAAAAUGCUAAGUUUAAAAGAUUUUUGGAAUAUCUACAGGAAAUGCAGAUGGUUUGUGGCAUGAAGAUAAAGCAUCCGUAUGGUUAGCUGAGUGUUAUUUUCUGACAUUGAGACUGGGAUAUAUCUUAAGUGCCUAUGAGUAAAGAAUGGGUAUUAAAAAAAAAGAUAUUUGACACUUAUUAAUCAAUGUCAUUUAUAUUCCUGACUUUGAAACUAGAGCUUUGGGAGGAAAUAAGUACCUUUGUAAAUGUAUUUUCAAAAAUAGUGUUCACCCUCCUUAGACUUAGAAGCACGAAUUACUGUGUCUUAGUUUAUUUCAUCACUUACCAGGGAGAUUAACUCAUAAUGACCUUGAAUUCAAUGAAAACAAUAUGUAUGAAAUUAAACCAAAAUGUCUUCUGAAGCAAAUCAGUAGGAAGAAGGCCAUCAAGGAUCCAAAGCCCUUCUGUCAAAUCUCAUUUCAGACCCCCCUUCUCAUUCUCAUUAUUACGUCCUUGAUUUAGCAUGUCAGCUUCUCUCAUCCAAAUACCAACACCUCCUGCAGGUCUACCUGCCGUCAAUAGUUAUUUCCCAAACAGC
rnacentral:lncRNA from 1 species